rnacentral:rRNA from 1 species
GAAUAAGCAUCGGCUAACUCCGUGCCAGCAGCCGCGGUAAUACGGAGGAUGCAAGCGUUAUCCGGAUUUAUUGGGUUUAAAGGGUGCGCAGGUGGUUUAAUAAGUCAGUGGUGAAAGUCUGCCGCUUAACGGUAGGAUUGCCAUUGAUACUGUUGGACUUGAAUAUGGAUGAGGUAGGCGGAAUGUGUAGUGUAGCGGUGAAAUGCUUAGAUAUUACACAGAACACCGAUUGCGAAGGCAGCUUACUAAUCCAUGAUUGACGCUGAGGCACGAAAGCGUGGGGAUCAAACAGGAUUAGAUACCCUGGUAGUCCACGCUGUAAACGAUGAUCACUCGCUGUUUGCGAUAUACAGUAAGCGGCUAAGCGAAAGCGUUAAGUGAUCCACCUGGGGAGUACGAUCGCAAGGUUGAAACUCAAAGGAAUUGACGGGGGCCCGCACAAGCGGAGGAACAUGUGGUUUAAUUCGAUGAUACGCGAGGAACCUUACCUGGGCUUAAAUGGGGAGUGACAGCUGCUGAAAGGUGGUUUUCUUCGGACACUCUUCAAGGUGCUGCAUGGUUGUCGUCAGCUCGUGCCGUGAGGUGUCGGGUUAAGUCCCAUAACGAGCGCAACCCUUACUGUUAGUUGCCAGCGGGUAAAGCCGGGGACUCUAGCGGGACUGCCACCGUAAGGUGAGAGGAAGGUGGGGAUGACGUCAAAUCAGCACGGCCCUUAUGUCCAGGGCUACACACGUGUUACAAUGGCCGGUACAAAGGGCAGCUACACUGCGAAGUGAUGCUAAUCUCGAAAGCCGGUCCCAGUUCGGAUCGAAGUCUGCAACCCGACUUCGUGAAGUUGGAUUCGCUAGUAAUCGCGCAUCAGCCAUGGCGCGGUGAAUACGUUCCCGGGCCUUGUACACACCGCCCGUCAAGCCAUGGAAGCU